rnacentral:rRNA from 1 species
CAGUCGCCGCGGGAAUACGUAGGGCGCAAGCGUUGUCCGGAAUUAUUGGGCGUAAAGAGCUCGUAAGCGGUCUGUCGCGUCUGGUGUGAAAUCCCGAGGCUCAACCUCGGGCUUGCAUCGGGUACGGGCAGACUAGAGUGCGGUAGGGGAGACUGGAAUUCCUGGUGUAGCGGUGGAAUGCGCAGAUAUCAGGAGGAACACCGAUGGCGAAGGCAGGUCUCUGGGCCGCAACUGACGCUGAGGAGCGAAAGCAUGGGGAGCGAACAGGAUUAGAUACCCCAGUAGUCCCUGUCUCUUAUAC